rnacentral:lncRNA from 7 species
GACUUCUUACUUGGGUCCAAAUGAGAUCGCACAAGAGCGGGAAGAGAAACCAAACCAGCUGUCCUUAGGCAGGAAACAUGAAGAAGACAAGCCACUUCUGCCAUCCAACAGGCUUGCUAAGAUCAGUCUCAAGCUUACUAUCAAAGCAACUGCACAGUAACAUGGAAAAGCAGUGUAUGUUGCCUUCAGCAUGUUUUACAGGAGAUGCCCCAAGCUACAAAUACAGCUGUUUUUAGCAGCAGAGAUGAUCCCAUGGUGCUCAUCAGGAAUGCAAAGCCUCCAGGCAGCUAUGGGACCUCCUCAGGAGGAACAGAGAUGAUUAACCAAAUUGUAAUUGCAAAUGGCUGUUUGGUUAGAGUUCAGUGCCUGUGGACCAGUGAGUUGCUUAAUGUGAAAUGUGAAGAUCGAGUCUGUACCCAGGUCUCAGUGGAUGCCGUGCUACCUUUUUCCAUCUCUUUGAUACUCCUUAUUUUACCAAACUCUUCAGCCAAGAACCUGGCUGUGCUCCAGCAUUCUUACCACUGAUACAAAUCUUGGUAUUUGGUGCUUAGCAGAGGCCCCUUCCAUUGACACAACACACCCCAGCUUCACUGUGGGCAGGGCAUGGUUCUUCUAUUUCUCCACUUCUGCUAAAGACCCACGCAAGCUAUGAGUCCCCAGGACACUGCACUUCUCAGUCACAUAACCUGCUGCAGCAGCAGCUCUCAGACAGCACCUGGACAGAAGAGAGGUGGUGGCUGUUGGCUGCAGAAGAGCACUCGUAUAGCAGUUCAUUCUGACUACAGUGAACACUCUCCUAUGCAAAUACUUAAUGACCUAUGAGAAACCACAUUGAAAAAAUGCUGAAGGACCUGACUGACCAGAUUAAGGGGAUCAGGGGGAAUCUACCAAAAAAAUCUGGAAGGAAGGGUAACUCUAAAAGAAAAGCAAAAAAUGGUAGCUGCUUCCACAAAAUGUUGAUUUUUGGCUAUGUCUAAAGAAUACUGAUGAUUAGUGGCUUAGUUGGAAGUUAUUUAAUGUAAAUACUGAAUCGAAGGGUUCAGUCUUGUUUAGCUUCUAUCCUGCACUUUGCAACUAAGCUGCAAUUUCUACCACAUGAGGCAUGAAAUCAAUUAAAGAAGAAUGUUUAUGCUCCAGCAGACUUGUAAGUGCACUGCUUAAAGUUCAGAUGCUUUGUGUUUUAAUAUGUCUUUGUUAAUUUUCCAGUCUGAAUCUCAUAUUAAUUAAAGAUGUUUAAAUGUGUCUCUUU